UAGAGUUUGAUCAUGGCUCAGGAUGAACGCUAGCGGCAGGCUUAACACAUGCAAGUCGAGGGGCAUCGGGAGGGAAGCUUGCUUUCCUUGCCGGCGACCGGCGCACGGGUGAGUAACACGUAUGCAACCUGCCCUCUUCAGGGGGACAACCUUCCGAAAGGGAGGCUAAUCCCGCGUAUAUCGGUUUCGGGCAUCCGAGAUCGAGGAAAGAUUCAUCGGAAGAGGAUGGGCAUGCGGCGCAUUAGCUUGACGGCGGGGUAACGGCCCACCGUGGCGACGAUGCGUAGGGGUUCUGAGAGGAAGGUCCCCCACACUGGUACUGAGACACGGACCAGACUCCUACGGGAGGCAGCAGUGAGGAAUAUUGGUCAAUGGGAGAGAUCCUGAACCAGCCAAGCCGCGUGAGGGAAGACGGCCCUAUGGGUUGUAAACCUCUUUUGUCGGAGAACAAAACCCGGGACGUGUCCCGGACUGCGUGUAUCCGAAGAAAAAGCAUCGGCUAACUCCGUGCCAGCAGCCGCGGUAAUACGGAGGAUGCGAGCGUUAUCCGGAUUUAUUGGGUUUAAAGGGUGCGUAGGCGGUCCGUUAAGUCAGCGGUAAAAUUGCGGGGCUCAACCCCGUCGAGCCGUUGAAACUGGCAGACUUGAGUUGGCGAGAAGUACGCGGAAUGCGCGGUGUAGCGGUGAAAUGCAUAGAUAUCGCGCAGAACUCCGAUUGCGAAGGCAGCGUACCGGCGCCACACUGACGCUGAGGCACGAAAGCGUGGGGAUCGAACAGGAUUAGAUACCCUG
rnacentral:rRNA from 1 species